rnacentral:misc_RNA from 1 species
AAGUCGUAACAAGGUCUCCGUUGGUGAACCAGCGGAGGGAUCAUUAGUGAGACUUAGCGCUCCAACCCUUGCGAAUCUACCAUUGCGGCGUUGUUUCGGUGGGUUUGUCAGUGGAUUUGUCCGCUGACAUGCCGCCUGGCCAGCGGAGCCUGCCGGCAGCGCCAAAUUCUCAGUUUUAGUGAAAGUCUUCUGAGUGGCAAAGCAAAACAAGCAAAACUUUCAACAACGGAUCUCUUGGUUCUG